AUUGAACGCUAGCGGGAUGCUUUACACAUGCAAGUCGAACGGCAGCGCGGACUUCGGUCUGGCGGCGAGUGGCGAACGGGUGAGUAAUGUAUCGGAACGUGCCCAGUAGCGGGGGAUAACUACGCGAAAGCGCAGCUAAUACCGCAUACGCCCUACGGGGGAAAGCAGGGGAUCGUAAGACCUUGCACUAUUGGAGCGGCCGAUAUCGGAUUAGCUAGUUGGUGAGGUAACGGCUCACCAAGGCGACGAUCCGUAGCUGGUUUGAGAGGACGACCAGCCACACUGGGACUGAGACACGGCCCAGACUCCUACGGGAGGCAGCAGUGGGGAAUUUUGGACAAAGGGGGCAACCCCGAUCCAGCCAUCCCGCGUGUGCGAUGAAGGCCUUCGGGUUGUAAAGCACUUUUGGCAGGAAAGAAACGUCGCGGGCUAAUACCCCGUGGAACUGACGGUACCUGCAGAAUAAGCACCGGCUAACUACGUG
rnacentral:rRNA from 1 species